rnacentral:lncRNA from 1 species
UGCCUCAUUAUCUGGUACUGUUUUAAGUAAAUUAAAUGAUCCCUUCUACUGACUUCACCUGGAAGUCCCUGUGGCAGGCUUUGUUCUUUCCGGUGAGCCAAGCUCUGAGCUGUGGGAGGCAUUAGCAGAUGCAGGUGGCAGAGUAAUUGCAGUCCCCUUGCACAACUCUGUGAUGAUACCAGCUCAGCAUUGCCUUUAGAGCGAGUAACACAGAAUGGAGAAUGACAUUUUCCCCAGCCCAGCCUUCUCACAGCAGGCAACAGAGAGAAGAAAAAGUUCUAAAAUCCCACCUCUUAUGAGAAAUAUGUGUUAGUGCAAGCCAUAUGGAAAGGUGCCAUGAGACACCCAUUCGGUGAAGACAUUUGAAGCUGGGCAAAGAAUGUGUACAGUGUAUCCUGGAGACAAGGUAUGCCAGAGGCAGGACCAAUUCAAACAACGCUGCAGAACUCCAGGGCUGACUUGAGGCCUAUAAGGCAAUGUAAGGAUACAGCACGCUUCCAUUUAGGAGAGAGACAAGACAGUUAAAGCAUGCUGGCUAUGCAAAAUACACACAAAACUUUUCCAAGGAAGCACACUGGUGAUAGAACUAAGGGAGAAAAAAUGCUUGACUUGAAGAACUAUUGAUGGCUUUUCACCUAAGAGAUUUGGAUCAGAUAAUCAAAAUAUAUUACAUGGAAAUGAUCACAGAAGCCAACAGCAGAGAGAGGCCGAUUUCACGUAUAGACAGUACAUACGCGAAGCAUCGCCCUAAAGUUCACAAAAGAGGAGUGAGUUACUUUGCAGGCCUGCAAUCCCUUCUGGAGAAGUAAAUAAUGAAAUAACAUGACAAACCCCUGGCCUACUCCAGUUCAGUGGGAAAGGGUAAAUAGAAGAAGUGGAGAGAAAACACAGUUUUCCAUUGGGCAAGAAACAAAAAAUGAAAAUGAACAAUGAAUUUGUUUGUCUGCCCCAAAAUUUUUGACUACCUAAACAACAAAUAAUCCAGUGUGCUUGUGGGUAACUGGCAAGAAAAAUCAGAGAGGGAAAGGGAAACUGGCCACUCAGCUAGUUGCCAUGAAUUAGCAUUUAGACAUUGUUCUCCAGAAUUUUUCCACAGAAACAUGCCCAUUAGGAAACAGGUGAUCCACUUUGUUAUGUAUUGAACAUCUUUCUUUACUAGCCUUGAAAACAAACUCAUAUGAAGAACAGUUUAUUAACUGGUAAGAAGCAAAAUAUAUCUAUCCACCUCAUUUAUUAGACCUGCUUCUGAGGAGUUCCCUACUGUUCAGGAAAGGCACAUGCAAAACAAAUCCUGACCUCAGUCAGCGAUUCUGCCCUCUAAGGAUGCUCUCUCUGUCUGUAUGUAUGUGUGUGAGAUUUCUGAGUGUAUAGCAUUAGCUACAUUUCAUGUGAUUCCUAGAAGAACUCCCCAUACAUUAUGUAGGUAUCAAUAUUUUUCUCAUGGUAACAUCUGCUAUUUUCUAAGGGAACGAAUAGAAAACACCUAGAGCAACGUAGGCUGCAGUGUCCUAAACAAGCUGCAAGCAAGCU